rnacentral:pre_miRNA from 1 species
CCAUUAUAUUCAUGAAGCAUUAACCCUGUUGUCUUAGAUAGUUUAUUACAAAACAUUUAAGGCACGCGGUGAAUGCCAUGUGAAAUGG